rnacentral:rRNA from 1 species
GACGAACGCUGGCGGCGUGCCUAAUACAUGCAAGUCGAACGCACUCUCGUUUAGAUUGAAGGAGUUUGCUCCUGAUUGAUAAACAUUUGAGUGAGUGGCGGACGGGUGAGUAACACGUGGGUAACCUGCCCUAAAGUGGGGGAUAACAUUUGGAAACAGAUGCUAAUACCGCAUAAAACCUAACACCGCAUGGUGUAGGGUUGAAAGAUGGUUUCGGCUAUCACUUUAGGAUGGACCCGCGGUGCAUUAGUUAGUUGGUGAGGUAAAGGCUCACCAAGACCGUGAUGAAUAGCCGACCUGAGAGGGUAAUCGGCCACACUGGGACUGAGACACGGCCCAGACUCCUACGGGAGGCAGCAGUAGGGAAUCUUCCACAAUGGACGAAAGUCUGAUGGAGCAACGCCGCGUGAGUGAAGAAGGUUUUCGGAUCGUAAAACUCUGUUGUUGGAGAAGAAUGUAUCUGAUAGUAACUGAUCAGGUAGUGACGGUAUCCAACCAGAAAGCCACGGCUAACUACGUG